UACACACACUGCCCCCCAUACACACACACUGCAACUGUUACACACACAUACUGUCCCACACAUACACUGCAUCCCUGACAUACACUGCCGCCCUCACUCACACACUACAACCUUCACACACACACUGCACCCCUUACACAUUGCACCACUCACACACACCACUGCUCCUAUGCCCUACUACAGCCCCAUUUCCCAGCAGAUCUCAGGUAAGUUGUCAAACUGUUCUUAAACGGUUUGACUACUUACUGUGGGAGGGGGUCCCGGCACUAUUGACACCAUAACCACUACACUGAGCUGUAGUGGUUAUUGUGUCUGAAUUAUUUCUUUAAAUAAUCUACAAGUGCCCCUCCCGAGAUCAGGCUCUGGAUCCGCCACUGCC
rnacentral:lncRNA from 1 species